rnacentral:rRNA from 1 species
GACGGAGGAUGCAAGUGUUAUCCGGAAUCACUGGGCGUAAAGCGUCUGUAGGUCGUUUAAAAAGUCUACUGUUAAAAAUUGAAGCUUAACUUCAAAGAUGCCGUAGAAACUUUUAAACUUGAGUAUGGUAGGGGUAGAGGGAAUUUCCAGUGGAGCGGUGAAAUGCGUAGAUAUUGGAAAGACCACCAAUGGCGAAGGCACUCUACUGGGCCAUUACUGACACUGAGAGACGAAAGCUAGGGGAGCAAACAGG